rnacentral:rRNA from 1 species
GUACGAACGCUGGCGGCGUGCUUAACACAUGCAAGUCGAACGGAAAGGCCCUGCUUUUGUGGGGUGCUCGAGUGGCGAACGGGUGAGUAACACGUGAGUAACCUGCCCUUGACUUUGGGAUAACUUCAGGAAACUGGGGCUAAUACCGGAUAGGAGCUCCUGCUGCAUGGUGGGGGUUGGAAAGUUUCGGCGGUUGGGGAUGGACUCGCGGCUUAUCAGCUUGUUGGUGGGGUAGUGGCUUACCAAGGCUUUGACGGGUAGCCGGCCUGAGAGGGUGACCGGCCACAUUGGGACUGAGAUACGGCCCAGACUCCUACGGGAGGCAGCAGUGGGGAAUAUUGCACAAUGGGCGGAAGCCUGAUGCAGCAACGCCGCGUGCGGGAUGACGGCCUUCGGGUUGUAAACCGCUUUCGCCUGUGACGAAGCGUGAGUGACGGUAAUGGGUAAAGAAGCACCGGCUAACUACGUGCCAGCAGCCGCGGUGAUACGUAGGGUGCGAGCGUUGUCCGGAUUUAUUGGGCGUAAAGGGCUCGUAGGUGGUUGAUCGCGUCGGAAGUGUAAUCUUGGGGCUUAACCCUGAGCGUGCUUUCGAUACGGGUUGACUUGAGGAAGGUAGGGGAGAAUGGGAUUCCUGGUGGAGCGGUGGAAUGCGCAGAUAUCAGGAGGAACACCAGUGGCGAAGGCGGUUCUCUGGGCCUUUCCUGACGCUGAGGAGCGAAAGCGUGGGGAGCGAACAGGCUUAGAUACCCUGGUAGUCCACGCUGUAAACGGUGGGUACUAGGUGUGGGGUCCAUUCCACGGGUUCCGUGCCGUAGCUAACGCUUUAAGUACCCCGCCUGGGGAGUACGGCCGCAAGGCUAAAACUCAAAGGAAUUGACGGGGCCCCGCACAAGCGGCGGAGCAUGCGGAUUAAUUCGAUGCAACGCGUAGAACCUUACCUGGGUUUGACAUGGAUCGGGAGUGCUCAGAGAUGGGUGUGCCUCUUUUGGGGUCGGUUCACAGGUGGUGCAUGCCUGUCGUCAGCUCGUGUCGUGAGAUGUUGGGUUAAGUCCCGCAACGAGCGCAACCCUUGUUCACUGUUGCCAGCACGUUAUGGUGGGGACUCAGUGGAGACCGCCGGGGUCAACUCGGAGGAAGGUGGGGAUGACGUCAAGUCAUCAUGCCCCUUAUGUCCAGGGCUUCACGCAUGCUACAAUGGCUGGUACAGAGAGUGGCGAGCCUGUGAGGGUGAGCGAAUCUCGGAAAGCCGGUCUCAGUUCGGAUCGGGGUCUGCAACUCGACCUCAUGAAGUCGGAGUCGCUAGUAAUCGCAGAUCAGCAACGCUGCGGUGAAUACGUUCCCGGGGCU